rnacentral:piRNA from 1 species
UGGAGAUGAAUGUGCAGAGCGUCCGC